GGAGGGCUGUAGCUUAGUAGCAGAGCACCUGCUUGGCAUGCAGAAGGUCCCAGGUUCAGUCCCAGCAGCAUCUCCC